GAAAGCAGAGGCGGUCAAAGAGGUUGAGAGCGCGAGGAGGCAAUGGCGGAAGCCAAGAAGAUUGAGUGGAGGCAAAGCCACCGCCUCGUGCUGUAUAGCGUCACUGACCGGGCUGGCCUCGUCGCAACCGCGGGAGAGGUCUGGCUGUGAACGAAGACGUUUUUUGACUGGGAAAUUUGCUACCAGUAAUUCCAGUUCUAAAAGCUGGUGGCUUGAUGAUGUAAAUUUAAUUACGAUGGGCGCGUUCGUUGGUUUGAUAUGAGAUGCAAAGACGCACAACUUAUCAUGGAUGUUGGGGAAGAACCUAUAACUUCUUUAUGUUUCAGGCUCGGGAACGAAUAUAUCAUCUAUGUUUCUUCAGGAAAAGAAGUUAAGUGUUUUGAUGUGCAUAUGGUAAGAUUUUGCCUCACAUGGUUUGAUUAAUUCGGCCUAGAACCCACAGAAACAUAUUGGUGGCUCCCGACAUAAUUGAUUUUCUUAUAUGGAGUGUUGUGGAAGACAUUGAUGGGCAUAGCUGACUGGUGUUUGAAAAGGGAGGUCUUUUCGUUGAAAAUUUAAAGGCUUUGUUGUGGGUUGCCCAAGAUUGUAUACGUUGCAAAACCAGUUUGAUGGCCUGAACAUGAUAGGUUGGUUGACUGUUGACAUGCCAAAGAUAACCCAAUUUUCUUAACCUUUUAAGGUGGUUAGCUUUGGAAUUGGUAUCCAUAGUAAUUCUCGCAUUUAUGUUUAUGUAAUGAGAAAAUAUGUUUGAUGGAUGUUAAGUUGUAGGGUGCCUUUUUUUUUUCAGAUUGUUGCCUUUAGAAACUUAAAAGAAGAAAGCCCUGAAGUGGAAGAAAGGAGAGUUUUCUGGGCUUUGUUUUGCAUAAUAUUCUCUGUGCUUAAUUUCUGCAGUUGUUGGGAGUUCUAUCAUUAUCCUGAAAUGAGUAUAUUCAUCAGAACUAUUGCGCAAAACUUAGUGCUCUGUUAGUUAAAGCAUGACUGUCCCCAUGUAUGACAGUCAAUCACUGGAAGGCUUGAUUCAAAGCUUGUUAUGUGUCACUUCUCUAAAGGGCAGCGUCACAAAGUUGUCAAUUUUGGAGCCGUCCACAACAAAGCAUGCCAUGAAAUUGGCUUAGCCCAACACCAGCCCAGUAGUAGGCACGAGACAUAUGUAAUAGGCAAGUAUUGGAGAUGAUGGUUUUGAACCUAUGACCAAGAUCAUGGGAGAAGGCAAGUCUUAAUCCCUGUAAUGACACUGCAUUUAAAUCUGAGUAGGACUACUCGGUAUUUAAUGUGGUGAUCUUCUAAAUGAGUGUUUGCUCUGUAACCCAUAAGUAGAACAAGAGAGAAGAUGAUGUUAUACCAGCUGAGUAGAUGAAAAUUUUUAUUCACUGUAACAAUAAAUAUGUCUUUGGUCGUGAAUGUCAUAAGAAUUAUAUGUUCAUUAAUCAUCAUAUUCAAUGUUAAUUAUUUUGGUUAGUGGGAUUAAA